GCGAUGGAUAGAGGGUUGGGAGAUAGGUGGAGAGAGAGAGAAAGAGAGAGAAAGGUGGAGAGAGAGAGCGAUGGAUAGAGGGUUGAGAGAUAGGUGGAGAGAGAGAGCGAUGGAUAGAGGGUUGAGAGAUAGGUGGAGAGAGAGAGAGAAAGGUGG